GACGCCGUGCCCGAGUUGGUAAAGGGGGAAGUCUGCAAAACUUUUAAUAAUGGUUCAAAUCCGUUCGGCGUCU
rnacentral:tRNA from 1 species